rnacentral:tRNA from 1 species
AGCAGUGUGGUUCAAUGGAAAGAGCCUGGGCUUGGGAGUCAGAGGUCGUGGGUUCUAAUCCCAGCUCUGCCA